rnacentral:lncRNA from 1 species
CAAAAUCAACUCCCGAUCCAUCAUGAAAUGACACUUUCAUAGUUUAACAAAAUAUUAGAUUCAAGACAUCAUUCCAGCACCUUUGUGAGAUUGUCAAGACACUUAUUAGAAGAAUCGCCAUAAACUGUGAAGUCUUCCAUAAAGGCUUCUAUACUCUGCUCCACAAAAUCAGAAAAGAUGUUGACCAUGCAUCUCUAGAAGGUGGUUGGG